GCCGAAGUGGUGGAAUUGGUAGACGCGCUGGACUCAAAAUCCAGUGGGCUUAACGCCCGUGAGGGUUCGAGUCCCUCCUUCGGCACCA
rnacentral:tRNA from 1 species